rnacentral:rRNA from 1 species
CCUACGGGUGGCAGCAGUGAGGAAUAUUGGUCAAUGGACGAGAGUCUGAACCAGCCAAGUAGCGUGAAGGAUGACUGCCCUAUGGGUUGUAAACUUCUUUUAUAAGGGAAUAAAGCGAGCCACGUGUGCCUUUUUUCAUGUACUUUAUAGAUAAGGCUCGGCUAAAUCCGUUCCAGCAAGCGCGGUAAUACGGAGGAUCCGAGCGUUCUGCGGAUUUAUUGGGUUUAAAGGGAGCGUAGAGAGGUUUGUAAGUUAGGUGUGAAAGUUGGCGGCUCAACCAUAAAAGUGCAAUUGAUACUGGCAGUCUUGAGUGCAGUUGAGGUAAGCGGAAUGCGUGGUGUAGCGGUGAAAUGCUUAGAUAUCACGAAGAACCCCGAUUGCGAAGGCAGCUUACUAAACUGUGACUGACAUUGAUGCUCGAAAGUGUGGGUAUCAAACAGGAUUAGAUACCCCUGUAGUC